UACAUGUGGGGCAAGCGUUGUUCGGAAUUACUGGGCAUAAGGGGUGCGUAGGCGGCUUGUUAAGUCAGGGGUGAAAGUUUUCGGCCCAACCGGAAAAUUGCCUUUGAUACUGGCGAGCUCGAGUGCGUGAGGGGUAACCGGAACGAGCAGUGUAGCGGUGAAAUGCGUAGAUAUUGCUCGGGAAGGCCAACGGCGAAGGCAGGUUACUGGUACGCAACU
rnacentral:rRNA from 1 species